AGUGAACGCUGGCGGUAGGCCUAACACAUGCAAGUCGAACGGCAGCACAGUAAGAGCUUGCUCUUACGGGUGGCGAGUGGCGGACGGGUGAGGAAUACAUCGGAAUCUACUUUUUCGUGGGGGAUAACGUAGGGAAACUUACGCUAAUACCGCAUACGACCUACGGGUGAAAGCAGGGGAUCUUCGGACCUUGCGCGAUUGAAUGAGCCGAUGUCGGAUUAGCUAGUUGGCGGGGUAAAGGCCCACCAAGGCGACGAUCCGUAGCUGAUCUGAGAGGAUGAUCAGCCACACGGGAACUGAGACACGGUACAGACUCCUACAGGAGGCCGCAGUGGGGAAUAUUGGACAAUGGGCGCGAGCCUGAUCCAGCCAUACCGCGUGGGUGAAGAAGGCCUUCGGGUUGUAAAGCCCUUUUGUUGGGAAAGAAAAGCAGCAGGUUAAUACCCCGCUGUUCUGACGGUACCCAAAGAAUAGGCACCGGCUAACUUCGUG
rnacentral:rRNA from 1 species